rnacentral:rRNA from 1 species
AUUGAACGCUGGCGGCAGGCCUAACACAUGCAAGUCGAACGGUAACAGGAAGAAGCUUGCUUCUUUGCUGACGAGUGGCGGACGGGUGAGUAAUGUCUGGGAAACUGCCUGAUGUAGGGGGAUAACUACUGGAAACGGUAGCUAAUACCGCAUAAUGUCGCAAGACCAAAGAGGGGGACCUUCUGGCCUCUUGCCAUCUGAUGUGCCCAGAUGGGAUUAGCUAGUAGGUGGGGUAACGGCUCACCUAGGCGACGAUCCCUAGCUGGUCUGAGAGGAUGACCAGCCACACUGGAACUGAGACACGGUCCAGACUCCUACGGGAGGCAGCAGUGGGGAAUAUUGGACAAUGGGCGCAAGCCUGAUGCAGCUAUGCCGCGUGUAUGAAGAAGGCCUUCGGGUUGUAAAGUACUUUCAGCGGGGAGGAAGGGAGUAAAGUUAAUACCUUUGCUCAUUGACGUUACCCGCAGAAGAAGCACCGGCUAACUCCGUG